UGGGGAAUAUUGGACAAUGGGGGCAACCCUGAUCCAGCAAUACCGCGUGUGUGAAGAAGGCCUUCGGGUUGUAAAGCACUUUAGGCGGGGAAGAAGGCUAGUAGUUUAAGAGAUGAUUAGCUUGACUGUACCUGCAGAAUAAGCACCGGCUAACUCUGUGCCAGCAGCCGCGGUAAUACAGAGGGUGCAAGCGUUAAUCGGAUUUACUGGGCGUAAAGGGCGCGUAGGUGGUUGCGUAAGUGAGAUGUGAAAUCCCCGGGCUUAACCUGGGACGUGCAUCUUAGACUGCGUAGCUAGAGUGUAGUAGAGGGUAGUGGAAUUUCCGGUGUAGCGGUGAAAUGCGUAGAUAUCGGAAGGAACACCAGUGGCGAAGGCGGCUACCUGGACUAACACUGACACUGAGGCGCGAGAGCGUGGGGAGCAAACAGGAUUAGAUACCCCCGUAGUCC
rnacentral:rRNA from 1 species